rnacentral:rRNA from 7 species
CCUGGCGGCCUUAGCGCGGUGGUCCCACCUGACCCCAUGCCGAACUCAGAAGUGAAACGCCGUAGCGCCGAUGGUAGUGUGGGGUCUCCCCAUGCGAGAGUA